AACACUUCAGCUGUAAUACAAACUUGUGAUUUGGCGGGGUGAGAACUUCUGUCUGUAAUACUGACCUGGGAUUGGGUGAAUAUUUAUUUGUCUGUGCUACUGGUCUGUGAUUGGGUAAAUUUUUGACUGUAAUACUGACCUGUGAUUGGGUAAAUCUUUGUCUGUCGUACUGACAUGUAAUUGGGCAGGGGGUGAACUUUUGUUUGCAAUACUGACCUGUGAUUGGGUGAACAUCUGUCUGCAAUACUGACCUGUGAUUGCGUGAGGUGUGAACUUCUGUCUGCGAUACUGACCUGUGAUUGGGUGAACUUCUGUCUGUGAUACUGACCUGUGAUUGGGUGAACUUCUGUCUGUGAUACUGACCUGUGAUUGGGUGAACUUCUGUCUGUGAUACUGACCUGUGAUUGGGUGAUACUGACCUGUGAUUGGACGAGAUGUGAACUUCUGUCUGUGAUACUGACCUGUGAUUGGAUGAGGUGUGAACUUUUGUCUGUGAUAUUGACCUGUGAUUGGGUGAACUUCUGUCUGUGAUACUGACCUGUGAUUGGGUGAAUUUCUGUCUGUGAUACUGACCUGUGGUUGGGUGAGGAGUAAAGUAGCCAUGGCUUUUAAACUUAUGCAUUAGUGAUUCCUCACAUGACUUGCUUACUUGGGCAAGCAAUGUAAUACGAUAAGAGCUCUGCCUUCAGAGAGACUGCUCUGACAUUGUAAAAUAUAUGUGAGCUAAUUACAAUCAUAAUCGCUGAUCUACGUACACAUCACCACAUGUGGCAUGAAAGACUGACAUCCGCAUCUCUUACCGUGACUGUGGAUCAUCAAAUGAAGUGACAUUCACCACAGGAAUGUUGGGAUAUUUUUCUGCGUAACUCUUUAAUCUUUCGUCCAUUUCCACUGGUGGAGUGUUGGAUCUCUGCUACAAAACAUGACCAAUUUAACUUCUCAAUAUAUACUCAAUUGUUUCUCAGAUUGCUCAUUUGGAAUAGAGUUAUCACAAAAUUACAAAACAUACGUAACAAGAGGCCCAUGGGCCACAUCGCUCACCUGAGUCACUUUGGCCCAUAUUUAAAGAUUUUCCCUAUAUAUUUGCAUGUAAAACUUUGAUCCCUAUUGUGGCCUCAACCUACCCCUUGGGGCCAUGAUUUUAACAAAUUUGAAUCUGCACUAUAUCAGGAAGCUUUCAUUUAAAUGUAAACUUUUCAGGUCCAGUGAUUCUUCAGAAGAAGAUUUUUAAUGAUUUUCCCUUCUACCCAUACUGAACAAAUAUUUGUAUGUAAAAAUUGAUCCCCUAUUGUGGCCCCAUCUUACCCAAGGGCCAAAAUUUAACAAACUUGAAUCUGCAUUAUGUUAGGAAGCUUUCAUGUGAAUUUGUACUUUCCGAGCUUAGUGGUUCUUGAGAAGAUUUUUAAAGAUUUUCCCUAUAUAUUUGUAUGAAAAACUUUGACCCCCUAUCCUACCCCUGGGGGUCAGGAUUUUAACAAACUUGAAUCUCCACUAUGUCAGGAAGCUUUAAUGUAAAUAUCAGGUCAGCUCUCUUCUGGCCCAAGAACUACUUGAGAAGAAUAUUUUUAAAGAUUUUCUCUACAUAUUUGUAUGUAAAACUUUGAUCCCCUAUUGUGGCCCCAUCCUACCCCCGGUGGCCAUGAUUUGAACAAACUUGAAUCUCCACUACAUCAGGAAGCUUUCAUGUAAAUUUCAGCUCUUCUGGUCCAAGAGCUACUUGAGAAGAUUUUUAAAUGACCCCACCCUAUUUUGACAUUUUUGUGAUUAUCUCCUCUUUGAAGGAGACAUGGCCCUUAAUUUGAACAAACUUGAGAGUCCUUUACCUAAGGAUGCUUUUUGCCAAGUUUGGUUGAAAUUGGCCAAGUGGUUCUGGAGAAGAAGUUGAAAAUGUGAAAAGUUUACAGACAGAUGGACGGAUGACGGACAAUAGGCGGUCAGAAAAGCUCAUUUGAGCUUUCAGGUCAGGUGAGCUAAAACUCAGACACUCAUGAAAUACAGUUUUCAUAUCAUUAGCAUACAAAAAAAAAAAAGAAAGAAAAGAAGACACAUCAUGUCAUGAUGUGGCAUACUGAUAACUUC